AAAACGGAGAGUUUGAUCCUGGCUCAGGAUGAACGCUGGCGGUAUGCUUAACACAUGCAAGUCGAACGGUGUCUUCGGACACAGUGGCGGACGGGUGAGUAACGCGUGAGAAUCUGGCUCUAGGUCUGGGACAACCACUGGAAACGGUGGCUAAUACCGGAUGUGCCCUUGGGUGAAAGGUUAACUGCCUAGAGAUGAGCUCGCGUCUGAUUAGCUAGUAGGUAGUGUAAUGGACUACCUAGGCGACGAUCAGUAGCUGGUCUGAGAGGACGAUCAGCCACACUGGGACUGAGACACGGCCCAGACUCCUACGGGAGGCAGCAGUGGGGAAUUUUCCGCAAUGGGCGAAAGCCUGACGGAGCAAUACCGCGUGAGGGAGGAAGGCUCUUGGGUCGUAAACCUCUUUUCUCAGGGAAGAACACAAUGACGGUACCUGAGGAAUAAGCAUCGGCUAACUCCGUGCCAGCAGCCGCGGUAAUACGGAGGAUGCAAGCGUUAUCCGGAAUGAUUGGGCGUAAAGCGUCCGCAGGUGGCAAUGUAAGUCUGCUGUUAAAGAGUCUAGCUCAACUAGAUAAAAGCAGUGGAAACUACAUAGCUAGAGUACGUUCGGGGCAGAGGGAAUUCCUGGUGUAGCGGUGAAAUGCGUAGAGAUCAGGAAGAACACCGGUGGCGAAGGCGCUCUGCUAGGCCGUAACUGACACUGAGGGACGAAAGCUAGGGGAGCGAAUGGGAUUAGAUACCCCAGUAGUCCUAGCCGUAAACGAUGGAUACUAGGCGUGGCUUGUAUCGACCCGAGCCGUGCCGUAGCUAACGCGUUAAGUAUCCCGCCUGGGGAGUACGCCGGCAACGGUGAAACUCAAAGGAAUUGACGGGGGCCCGCACAAGCGGUGGAGUAUGUGGUUUAAUUCGAUGCAACGCGAAGAACCUUACCAAGGCUUGACAUGUCGCGAAUCCUGGUGAAAGCUGGGAGUGCCUUCGGGAGCGCGAACACAGGUGGUGCAUGGCUGUCGUCAGCUCGUGUCGUGAGAUGUUGGGUUAAGUCCCGCAACGAGCGCAACCCUCGUUUUUAGUUGCCAGCAUUAAGUUGGGCACUCUAGAGAGACUGCCGGUGACAAACCGGAGGAAGGUGGGGAUGACGUCAAGUCAGCAUGCCCCUUACGCCUUGGGCUACACACGUACUACAAUGCUCCGGACAGAGGGCAGCAAGCAUGCGAAUGCAAGCAAAUCCCGUAAACCGGAGCUCAGUUCAGAUCGCAGGCUGCAACUCGCCUGCGUGAAGGAGGAAUCGCUAGUAAUUGCAGGUCAGCAUACUGCAGUGAAUUCGUUCCCGGGCCUUGUACACACCGCCCGUCACACCAUGGAAGCUGGUAGUGCCCGAAGUCAUUACUCCAACCUUUCGGGGAGGAGGAUGCCUAAGGCAGGACUGGUGACUGGGGUGAAGUCGUAACAAGGUAGCCGUACCGGAAGGUGUGGCUGGAUCACCUCCUUUUU
rnacentral:rRNA from 2 species